GAUGAACGCUGGCGGCGUGCCUAAUACAUGCAAGUCGAGCGAACAGACGAGGAGCUUGCUCCUCUGACGUUAGCGGCGGACGGGUGAGUAACACGUGGAUAACCUACCUAUAAGACUGGGAUAACUUCGGGAAACCGGAGCUAAUACCGGAUAACAUGUUGAACCGCAUGGUUUAACAGUGAAAGACGGUCUUGCUGUCACUUAUAGAUGGAUCCGCGCCGCAUUAGCUAGUUGGUAAGGUAACGGCUUACCAAGGCAACGAUGCGUAGCCGACCUGAGAGGGUGAUCGGCCACACUGGAACUGAGACACGGUCCAGACUCCUACGGGAGGCAGCGGUAGGGAAUCUUCCGCAAUGGGCGAAAGCCUGACGGAGCAACGCCGCGUGAGUGAAGAAGGUCUUCGGAUCGUAAAACUCUGUUAUUAGGGAAGAACAAAUGUGUAAGUAACUAUGCACGUCUUGACGGUACCUAAUCAGAAAGCCACGGCUAACUACGUG
rnacentral:rRNA from 1 species